GAGGGCGGGCCUGGCGUGGCGCACCCGGCGGUGCUGGCACUCGUCUCUCGGUGACCAGAGAGCAGUGUGAGGAUUUGGCAGCGACGUGUUGACGCUGCGCUUGCGUACCAUACGUAGGGCAAGACUGGAAGGCCGCUGGGAAAAUACCAGCAUCCCGAACGCAAAAAACGGACAGCGGGUCCACGUGCUAGGGAUUCGACCGCAUCCAAUGCAGGUGGGAAGAUCCCGCUAGACUAAAAUAGCUUAUCCUUAUCAAAACCCGGAAAUGCCAAAUGGACACGUGGGAUGAGGGUUCGGUUAAAUAACGCAGGAUGGUGGCCUACAAGGUUUCAGUGUGUUUCUGGAAAAGGAAAUAAUAUUCAGGAUGCCUAACACCGAUGAGUGAAGCCUCAAGUUAAUGAGCCCUGGGCUGGAGGCUUCCUAAAACACUAUGCAAAUGUGUAUUAAACAAGGCGUAGAGGAAACACUGACCAUUUUAAGAUGGUUGAUGCAACUUCUGAAAAUCUGAAGAACUUUGUUUCAAGCUGGUAUUAGCAUUUCACGAAAAGGAUCGGGGAGUUCUGCAUUAGGGUGAAGUAGAUUUCUCAUUAACAUGGAUGAAAAAUACCUAUUGAUAGUAUAAUUCGUUGAGCAGAGGGCAGAAGAGGGCGCCGCAACUCUGAGCAGGGUUGAGAAGCCUGUUUGGAUCCAGCUCUGCCAUUCUGGGCCGUGAGGUUACCAAUGUAGCAGUGAAGAAAGCCGGGGAUCACAGGCUCUCCUCCUUGUUAUAACAUUAGUAACAACACAAGAGGAGAGGAAACCAAGAGAGAAGACAGAAAGCCCGGAACUGGCAACCAGGACCAGAGACUUGGAGGCUGGAAGUCAAUAACCAAAGUGCCAGCACAGACCAAGCUGGGAGGACUCCAUUCUGGAUUGCGGAUGGCCACCUUCUUGCCAGGAGUCAAAAGUGAGCAGCAGUGCCCACCUCUUGGUCAUGCAGGGUGAAGGACUGAACCAGGGCUUGUGUUUGCCAGCAGCUUGCGGCACCGGGAAUGAUGGACAGCCACGUGGUCUCUGGCUGGCAGCGUGGAUGAGACACCGAUGUGGAUUCAGAGGCACCAAGGACUACGAACAUCAACAUGGCCUCCACAGCAGCACUGAUCAUGGAAGUCUUUCAAGGGGACAACUCAGAAAAUGAAUCGUUCUUCAUCUCGGAUAUCUUGUUGCUCAGAGUCAGGGUGAUCGUGGGAUCGGGCAGCGUGUGUGUGGAACAGAAGUGGGCGUGGGGGGGGCACCUAGAAGAGCUGCGGCUCCAUUCUGCGGGCUGAGCGGCAGCAGUACUUGUCCUAGCAGGCGGGAACCGGGUGAGGUGGAUCCUAUAGUUGCUUGAGCCUCCAGGGUCCGAGGAGAACCUUCUCUACUGGGCAAUGACAUGCUCCUUUGUGCCCUCCCCCUGCCGCAGCCCUGCUCCAUACCCAUCGCUGCCCAGUCUCGCUUCCCUCUGUUGCGCUGCUCUGUUCUGCAGUAUGGAAAAAAAAUAUACUUUAGGGGUGGGGCACGCCAUUGAACUUUUCAUAAUUUCCAUCUCUUUGCUGAAAUUCCCUCUGACUACACCCAUUGUCAGCUUUCCCCACCAGAUCCUUUAAUGUAUUGUUACACUUUUUAAAAUUCUUCUCUGCUAAUUUGAAUACUCAGAUCAUAUGCAAAUCCGCUUCUGUUGCUUCUGUCUAGUGUAAUUUUUUUUCCUUCCGAAGCGUUUUUUUUCUGCUAGUGUUCUUACAGUACCCCAGGGGAAUGCGAUGUCUCAUACAGGCUGUGAGACAGGGCUGCUUCAUACAGGCCAACAGGGACCACAAAUGCCUCCUACAGGCUGGGGAAUGCAACGUCUCAGCUUUUGUUCAUUGAAAAAAAAAAGCAUGUAUGUGUGCGUGUGUGCGUGCAUGUGUGUGCAUGUGAGUAGAGGAGGACAUGCAGUACCCUGCUGGUCACUCCCCACCCGAAUUCCAUUGAGGAAGUGUCUCCCUGAAGCUGGAGCUCUGAUUUUCCAGCAAGACUUAUAUUCCAGCAAGCUCCAGUGACUUCCUAUCUCCAUCCCACUGAACCAUGUGGUCACAGGCAUCGUCAGGACCACGCCCACUUUGUUCUGUGGGAGCUGGAAUCCAAACUCUGGUCCUUAUAGUCGCCAAAGCAAGCACUCUUACUUGCUAAACCAUUACUCCAACCUAAAAAGGGUUUCAAUGGCUCAGUCAGUAAUGUGCCUGGAGCACACAGACAGGAGGUUUUGAGUUAAGAUCCCCAGUUCUCAUAUAAAGCCGGGCAUAGCUAUUGUAUCUGACCUCAGUGCUCGGUCAAGGGUCACACAGGUGGCUCCCUGGAGCUCCUUGUCCAGCUAGCCUAGCCAAAUAGAUGAGUUCUUGGGUUGACAAACAGACCUCGUGUCUAACAAUGGAGUGGCACACUGUUGACCUAAGUGGCCUUUAGACUCAUGCAUACAUACACUCACAUUCACAGACAAACAAAGGACUCCCGGACACACACACACACACACACACACACACACACACACACACACACAAAUCUAGGGCCUUCACCUGCUGAGUCAUCUCUCCAGAUUCCUUUUGUUACUUAUAAGUGUUACAC
rnacentral:lncRNA from 1 species